UGCCCCCUGGCCCAGCUGGUUAAGGCGCACGACUGUUAAAUCCCGUGAUCUAUUUAGGGUCACGUGAUCAAAUCGUGAGAUCGUGAGUUCGAGCCUCACGGGGGCAG